rnacentral:rRNA from 1 species
GGCGAACGGGUGAGUAACACGUGGUUGAUCUGCCUUGCACUUCGGGAUAAGCCUGGGAAACUGGGUCUAAUACCGGAUAGGACCAUGCUUUAGUGUGUGUGGUGGAAAGUUUUUCGGCGCAAGAUGAGCCCGCGGCCUAUCAGCUUGUUGGUGGGGUAAUGGCCUACCAAGGCGACGACGGGUAGCCGGCCUGAGAGGGUGUACGGCCACAUUGGGACUGAGACACGGCCCAG